UACGUAGGGUGCAGGCGUUAAUCGGAAUUACUGGGCGUAAAGCGUGCGCAGGCGGUUUGCUAAGACAGGUGUGAAAUCCCCGGGCUUAACCUGGGAAUUGCGCUUGUAACUGGCAAGCUAGAGUGUGGCAGAGGGGGGUAGAAUUCCACGUGUAGCAGUGAAAUGCGUAGAUAUGUGGAGGAAUACCGAUGGCGAAGGCAGCCCCCUGGGUUAACACUGACGCUCAUGCACGAAAGCGUGGGGAGCAAAC
rnacentral:rRNA from 1 species